GUUGCUUCUUACUGGUGAACGCCCUCUGAUGAAUGCGGUGAGGGAUGUUCAUGUUUCCGAAGCAUAGACGAAUGAAUAGCUUUUCUUAAGCUUUUUGCCAGUUUUAAACAGCGCCGUGUACUCCUUAUCGGAGAUUGCACUGUGUUACCUGUCUCCUGGUACAAUC
rfam:Punica granatum cultivar Dabenzi scaffold665, whole genome shotgun sequence.